rnacentral:rRNA from 1 species
CCUACGGGGGGCUGCAGUGGGGAAUAUUGCACAAUGGGCGCAAGCCUGAUGCAGCCAUGCCGCGUGUGUGAAGAAGGCCUUCGGGUUGUAAAGCACUUUCAGCGGGGAGGAAGGCGUUAAGGUUAAUAACCUUGUCGAUUGACGUUACCCGCAGAAGAAGCACCGGCUAACUCCGUGCCAGCAGCCGCGGUAAUACGGAGGGUGCAAGCGUUAAUCGGAAUUACUGGGCGUAAAGCGCACGCAGGCGGUCUGUCAAGUCGGAUGUGAAAUCCCCGGGCUCAACCUGGGAACUGCAUUCGAAACUGGCAGGCUAGAGUCUUGUAGAGGGGGGUAGAAUUCCAGGUGUAGCGGCGAAAUGCGUAGAGGUCUGGAGGAAUACCGGUGGCGAAGGCGGCCCCCUGGACAAAGACUGACGCUCAGGUGCGAAAGCGUGGGGAGCAAACAGGAUUAGAUACCCUAGUAGUC